CCUACGGGAGGCAGCAGUGGGGGAUAUUGCACAAUGGGGGAAACCCUGAUGCAGCGACGCCGCGUGUGGGAAGACGGUCCUCUGGAUUGUAAACCACUGUCCCCAGGGACGAAGAUGACGGUACCUGGGGAGGAAGCUCCGGCUAACUACGUGCCAGCAGCCGCGGGAAUACGUAGGGAGCGAGCGUUGUCCGGAAUUACUGGGUGUAAAGGGAGCGUAGGCGGGACUGCAAGUUGGGUGUCAAAUCUACCGGCUCAACCGGUAGCCGCACUCAAAACUGCAGUUCUUGAGUGAAGUAGAGGCAGGCGGAAUGCCUAGUGUAGCGGUGAAAUGCGUAGAUAUUAGGAGGAACACCAGUGGCGAAGGCGGCCUGCUGGGCUUUUACUGACGCUGAGGCUCGAAAGUGUGGGGAGCAAACAGGAUUAGAUACCCUGGUAGUC
rnacentral:rRNA from 1 species